AUCGGGACCCCGACGGAGGUGCCGGAGAUCCUUCGGCUACAACGCCGGGCAGAUGGGGCUCGUUAGCCGUGGUAGGCAAUCUGCCUAGGAGAGCAAACUCCGAACAACAAACCCGGGCAGGUGAGGCUCGUUAGCCGUGGUAGGCAAUUCACCUAGGAGAGCAAACUCCGAACAAUAAACCCGGGCAGGUUGGGCUCGUGAGCCGUCAUAGGUAAUACACCUAGGAGAGCAAACUCCGAACAAUAAACCCGGGCAGGUGGAGGUCGUUAGCGAAAGCAGUUCACCUAGGAGAGCAAACUCCGAUUACAAACCCGGGCAGGUGGAGGUCGUUAGCGAAAGCAGUUCACCUAGGAGAGCAAACUCCGAUUACAAACCCGGGCAGGUGAGGUUCGUUAGCCGUGGUAGGCAAUUCACCUAGGAGAGCAAACUCCGAACAAUAAACCCGGGCAGGUUGGGCUCGUGAGCCGUCAUAGGUAAUACACCUAGGAGAGCAAACUCCGAACAAUAAACCCGGGCAGGUGGAGCUCGUCAGCCGUGGUAGGCAGUCUGCCUAGGAGAGCAAACUCCGAACAAUAAACCCGGGCAGGUGGAGCUCGUUAGAUGUCGUAGACAAUCCACGUGAUGGGAACACCAAAGAAAAGGAAAAUAAAAAGGAACACCAGAAAAAGGAAAAUAUAGUAACAAAACAUCAAGAAAAUAAAAUAAAAAACACAGAUCAUC